GAGGAUGUAGCUCAGUGGUUGAGCAUGUGCUUAGCAUGUUCAAGGCCCUGGGUUCAAUCCCCACCAAUCCCC
rnacentral:tRNA from 1 species